GAGUUUGAUCAUGGCUCAGAUUGAACGCUGGCGGCAGGCCUAACACAUGCAAGUCGAGCGGUAGCACAGAGAGCUUGCUCUCGGGUGACGAGCGGCGGACGGGUGAGUAAUGUCUGGGAAACUGCCUGAUGGAGGGGGAUAACUACUGGAAACGGUAGCUAAUACCGCAUAACGUCGCAAGACCAAAGUGGGGGACCUUCGGGCCUCAUGCCAUCAGAUGUGCCCAGAUGGGAUUAGCUAGUAGGUGGGGUAACGGCUCACCUAGGCGACGAUCCCUAGCUGGUCUGAGAGGAUGACCAGCCACACUGGAACUGAGACACGGUCCAGACUCCUACGGGAGGCAGCAGUGGGGAAUAUUGCACAAUGGGCGCAAGCCUGAUGCAGCCAUGCCGCGUGUGUGAAGAAGGCCUUCGGGUUGUAAAGCAC
rnacentral:rRNA from 1 species